CGCCCCUCCCCUAGCCUCCCUGCCGCCUUGCAGUUUGAUCUCAGACUGCUGUGCUAGCAAUCAGCGGGACUCCGUGGGCAUAGGAGCCUCCGAGCCAUGUGUGGGAUAUAAUCUCGUGGUGCGCCGUUUUUUAAGCCCGUCGGAAAAGCGCAGUAUUCAGGUGGGAGUGACCCGAUUUUCCAGGUGCCGUCAGUCACUCCUUUUUUGACUCAGAAAGGGAACUCCCUGACCCCUUGCGCUUCCCAAGUGAGGUAAUGCCUCGCCCUGCUUCGGCUCGCGCAUGGUGUGUGCACCCACUGACCUGCACCCACUGUCUGGCACUCCCUAGUGAGAUGAGCCCAGUACCUCAGAUGGAAAUGCAGAAAUCACCCAUCUUCUGCGUUGCUCACACUUGGAGCUGCAGACCGGAGCUGUUCCUAUUCGGCCAUCUUGGCUCCUCCAACGGUUGCUGUAUAAACUCUAGCCAUACGCAGUGAUCACCUUGGUUUUAUAACAGUAGAGACAGCAACAAGACACUGGGAAAAGACCAUGGGAGAACACAGAGAGAAGGCAUCAUCUGAAGCCGAGGAGAGAGGCUUGCCAGAAACAGACCCUGCUGGCACCUUGGUCUUGGACUUUCAGCCUCCAAAAUGAUUCUUCAGGAGCUUUUCCCUGGUUUUUAAGAAACUUCCCAAUUAAGGAGUACCUAAACCAAUGUAUACCAACAACUAAAUU